rnacentral:rRNA from 1 species
GGGUGGAAUGGGAUUUAUGCUUUCAACUUGGCAUUACUUGCAAAACAGUGUUGGAGACUGAUCUCCAAACCUGAUACUUUAUGCGCAAGAGUUCUUCAUGCAAAAUAUUACCCUGAUGGCAAUAUCCCGAAGGCCAAAAAUAAGAGAGGCUCCUUAUUUACAUGGCAAUCUAUUGUUUUGGGUAUACGAACAUUC